GGGUCGGUAGCUCAGUUUGGGAGAGCGUCUGGUUCGCAAUCAGAAGGCCGGGGGUUCGAUCCCCCCCCGAUCCACCA
rnacentral:tRNA from 1 species